rnacentral:rRNA from 1 species
GGCAGGCUUAAUACAUGCAAGUCGAGGGGCAGCGCGAGUAGCAAUACUUGGCGGCGACCGGCGCACGGGUGCGUAACGCGUAUGCAACCUACCUGUAAUCGGGGAAUAGCCCGGAGAAAUCCGGAUUAAUACCCCAUAACACUGCAGAAUGGCAUCAUUCAGCAGUUAAAACUCCGGUGAUUACGGAUGGGCAUGCGUGACAUUAGUUUGUUGGUGAGGUAACGGCUCACCAAGACUACGAUGUCUAGGGGUUCUGAGAGGAUUAUCCCCCACACUGGUACUGAGACACGGACCGGACUCCUACGGGAGGCAGCAGUAGGGAAUAUUGGGCAAUGGACGCAAGUCUGACCCAGCCAUGCCGCGUGAAGGAUUGACGGCCCUAGUGGUUGUAAACUUCUUUUGUACGGGAAAAAACCCCUGAUCGCGCAUCAGGGCUGAUGGUACCGUAAGAAUAAGGAUCGGCUAACUCCGUGCCAGCAGCCGCGGUAAUACGGAGGAUCCAAGCGUUAUCCGGAUUUAUUGGGUUUAAAGGGUGCGCAGGCGGGAUAAUAAGUCAGAGGUGAAAGCCUACAGCUUAACUGUAGAAUUGCCUUUGAUACUGUUAUUCUUGAGUACAGUUGGAGUGGGCGGAAUGUGUCAUGUAGCGGUGAAAUGCUUAGAUAUGACACAGAACACCGAUCGCGAAGGCAGCUCACUAAGUUGUAACUGACGCUCAGGCACGAAAGCGUGGGGGUCAAACAGGAUUAAAUACCCUGGUAGUCCACGCCCUAAACGAUGAUCACUCGCUGUUGGCGAUACACUGCCAGUGGCUAAGCGAAAGCAUUAAGUGAUCCACCUGGGGAGUACGGCGGCAACGUUGAAACUUAAAGGAAUUGACGG